UUUUCGUUUUUUCGUGUCCAACAUUUGACCAUUCGUCUUAUUUAAAAUUUUUUUAUUAAUAUUUUUAUUAUUACUAGAUGAUAAAACAUGAAUAAUACUUUAUGCGUGACUAAUUUUUUUAAGUUUUGUAUAAAUUUUUCAAAUAAAACGAAUAAACAACCUUUAUAACGGAAAAAC
rnacentral:pre_miRNA from 1 species